UUACGACCAUAUCACAUUGAAACACCGAUUCUUGUGCGAGCACUAAAGUUAAGCAACAUCCAGCCUGGUCAGUACUGAGAAUGGUGACCGUUUAGGAAUACUAGGUACUGUAAG